rnacentral:lncRNA from 10 species
GUGAAAAAUGACAUUGGUAUUUUGAUAGGGAUUGCAUUGGUCAUUUUAUGGUCAUUUUAGCAGUAUUAGUCCUUUCUAUCCAUGAGCAUGAGAUAUCUUUCCAUUUGUGUGUGGCCUCUUCAAUUUCUUUCAUCAUUGUUUUGUAGUUUUCCUUGUAGAGGUCUUUCACCUCCUUGGUUCAAUUCAUUUUCAGGUAUUUUUGGUACCUAUUUUAAAUAAGAUUGCCUUCUUGAUUUCUUUCUUAGCUAGUCCAUUAUUAGUUUAUAGAAAUGCUACUAAUUUUUGUGUGAUUUUGUGUAUCCUAUGGCUUUAGUGAAUUUAUCAGAUCUAAGUUUUUGGUGGAGUCUUUAGGUUUCUCUAGGUAUAAGAUCAUAUUGUCUGUAAAGAGGGAUAACUUGACUUUCUCUUUUCCAGUUUGGAUGCCCUUUCUUUCUGUUGCUCGAUUGCUCUGGCUAGGACUAGUAUUAUGUAAGUGUUCCAUUCAUUAAUUUGCUGAACUGUAGUGGGAAGACAACCCUUCCCCAAACUCCGUUCACUCCAUACCUAAACGGACCAAGCACAUGCUUAGGGCACUAAUGAAACAGGAACACCAAGAUAAUGAGUAAACUUCAGCUUUUGGUGAACUUGGAAUUUUAUAAUCAGAGAUAAUCUAGAAAUAAGCCUUUCUAACUUCAGCAUACAUUAAUAUUUUGGCUUCCCCAGGCCCACUUGCAUCAUGUACUUCUUUCUCAGAUAAACACUCGAGGGACCUGAUGAGACUGAAAACAUCAAACACAGCCUCUGGGACAAGGAAAGUCUUUAAGAACUUUAGGGGUAUAUUAUUCUCAUACUCAAACACAUCUGCAGACCACCAAAGAUACUUCUCCUCGCAUCACUGUGAUCCUCUGGGCACAUCAGUCACAAAGAACCAGGCAAGUUAGUCCAACACGUUCACAUUUCUCCAAGUUGAUGCAAUAUCUGUGUACAUACUCAUACUCAGCAUAUGAAGAAUGAAGAACAAUUAGCAAAUUCCUUGCCUGAAUGUAUAAUUUUUCUCUUCCUAAAGGCUUUAAGUCUUCUGAAAAUUAAUAGAAGCAAGAAGGUGACAAAACUCUAUGGACACUCUUGGGCUUAAAUCUUGCCAGUCAAGUGUUUGAUCACAGACAAGAACUGACCCUCUCUGUGCUCACCAAAUGUCAUGCAGAGACUCUAUGACCUACUACCUCCUUGUGUUCUUCCUGCCUCUCUAGCUGUUCAGUUCAGACUUCUUAGGAGGUUCUCAGAGAUACCUCAAACUGCACAAGUCCAGGGGGAGAAUCUAGAACCUUUUCUAUACUGUAGAGGCUUUCUUGAAUGCCUCUUUGUCCCCACUGUAGCUCUUUUUGUUUAAACUUGUCAGUUGAUCUCUUAUGGCAGCCUUGCCCACCUUUGAUUUAUCCCUUAUACCAAGGUUUCUCAAUUUCCACAGUCUUGACAUUUGGUACUAGAUAAUCCUUUGUUGUGGGGGCUGUUAUGUGCAUUGUGAGAUGCUGAGCAGUGUCCCUGGCCUCUACCAGGAGAUGCCAGUAGCAUCCCGAGUUGUGACAAUCAAAAAUGUCUCUAGACAUUGCCAAAUGUCCCUCGGGGCAAAACUGUCACCUAGCUGAGAACCACUUCUCAAUCUGACCCUGAAUUAUCUUUGAGAAACCAAUAUUUACUGCAGUAUACCCUUAAAUAGUUGAGGGCUCCCAUUGUCUAUGAAUAAACUCCCUGGCAUGACAUAUUUUGCCUUUAUUAUAUCAUCCAACACCCCCCACCAGCACAGGCAGUUAGGUACCUUAUCUGCUGCUGACAGUCUCGUCCAGGGUUUGUCUGCCCUCCUGUCAUAGUCCUGCGCUUUUGCUACUUCCACGUAAUCACUGAAUCGUAUCAGAAUUUUUCUGUCUCUUAAUUCAUCAACAGUGGGUCUCUGAUUAAGCUAAAAUUAAAGAUCAUCAUAGUUAAGUAUCACAUGCCAAACUAGCUUUUUUGAAGUACUCUGAACAAACAGCACUUCUCUUAAAAAACAAAACAAAACAAAAAAAACCUGAAACUGGAAAAUAUAACCCAAAUACAAGCAAUCUCUAAUGUGAAGGGCUGAAAUUAUAUACUGUACUCUUAAAUCACAAUCCCCCUUCCUCCAACAUAUUUUAUCAGAAGGAGUCACACCCCCAGUAGUACAUAGCACCAGCUCAAGGAAUGGUUAGUGAAUUAACUUAGAUUUUAUGGCAUCACUGGCUUCAGAUACAAUUAGAUAAGCUUUUUAAAAGUACUAAUAAAGUUAUUAUAUGUCCAGCUUAGGAAGGAUAUUCUGUUAAUUUCAAGAGAAUUAUUAUGGAGCAGCACAACGAAGAAGGGGAAUCCAGAACACUUGAAUUUAGAAAUGGUCAAGGCUUUAAAAGUAGAUUAAGAUUUAUAGAGUUGCUACCUGUAUUGGCCAUAGUAAAUGUUAACUGUUUGAGUCACAGAGAACAAACCUUUGAGUCUAAUAAAGCUUUCUGCAACUGAGGAACUUCUAGACAUAUUGGAGGUGAACAAAAGCGAUGAGUGUAAAAUGUGACUAAAACACUGAUACCCAGGUAUGCUUUUCCUAGACACUGUAAAUUAAGAAAAUGCCAAUCAACUUCUGGCUUCCACCUGAACAUAAGUAAAAAAUGUCAUGUGCAUUGUGCACCUCUCCAAGUGCUACCGUGCUAGGGAAGGACUUCGUCCAUAGGGAACGUCAGAGGGAGUUAAUUCAUUGUUGCUGAGCAAAUUUUUUAACCAACAUAAAACAUGGAACACCUUCUUCAGCUCCUGGGCAGCAUAUGCUUGCCUGGAAUUUAUAUGUUCAGACUAUAUUUCAAAUCUUAACACAUCUAUGAACCUCGCUGACUCUCCAUUGCUGAAGCGUGAACACUGUUAUAUGACAGUGCCUUUUAAAGGAGCCCAAGUCCCUCAGCAAAAUUAGCUUUGCUUGGUAAGUUGUGACUAUUAACAUUCAAGCUGUGCUCGCACCUACCCUUGGAAGCCAAAAAUAGACGAAAGUGCUGAGAUAUAGUAUAAAACGUAAGCUUCCCCCUGGGAUACAAGAUAAUGGCUGUCCUAUUUCUGGUGUUCUCUGUUGCUAAAUAAAGCCUUAUGUCCCUGACCUGAACAUAGCUCCAUUCCUAGGAAAGAGAUUUCAACAAUCAGCACUCCUAGAAACACUGGUAGGUUUUGGUAAGGGAAAUCCUGCCACUUGCAAUUAACACAAUUUCACAUUAUCUGCCUUUAUGUAAAAGAUGCGUUUCAAAUAUUUAUACAUUUGUGGGAUUGGUUAUAUGAGAGUUUAAUAUAUUGUGCUUUCCAGUAAUUUUUUUUAAGUGAGUCAUCUUGGAUUAGGGUGUUUUAGAAAAGGUAAUGAAAUCCUCUUUCUGCUUAAUUCUUUAUACAAGUGAGAAACCAGAAGAAACCAUACUUUUAAGGUAUCAUCAGAAAGCUGAUACAAUUAGAGAGACAUUGUGAAAGUGUCCAGACAAGGCAAGCCAUGAGGGAUUUACGUGACGUAAAAUGUUUCAGAUUUCUUUAAAAUAGGCCAUGGGCAGCUCCCAAGUGCAGCUUCCAUGUGAAAAGAUUGAAACAAAGUCAGAUCUUUUUUUUUUUUUUAAUCCUGAAAAAUGCCAUAAUUACUACGAAGGUCACCAGCAGGGUCUUUGGAGAACUGAUCUUUGAAAGUUCCUGUCAGAGUGCUGCUUUGUGCCAGGCGCUCUGUUGGAGACCUCCUCCAAGAAGUCCUCCCUGUUAGCCUAAGCCCACAGACCUCCCCUUCUGAGCUCCCCUUAGUGAUAUGUUUAUGGAUUUCUUAUUUCCAGACCCAGAACACCCUCUGCAUUAUACAAAGCAAGGGACCCAUAAUCAGGACUGCUAUACUCAUAUUUUCUGGAAAUAGCUCCAGCAGCUUGGACAGUUAUACCUGAGACUUCCAUGAAUAUCCAGAAAUGUAUUACUGCUUCUGAUGCAGUAGUUAAGAAGAUGGGCAAUGGAGUUAGGCAGACCUGGGGUUGAACUCUAGUGCUAUCCUUUUCCCAAUAUUCAUUUAUUAAAAAGUGCAAACCUCACAAAUAUGUUGCAAUGAUUAAAUGAGGGAAUAUAUACCAAGUACUGAAUAUAGUCCCUGGCACAGAUUGGGCCUAAUAAAGAAUUACCAUCACCAUAUAAAGGGACCCCUGCUCUUCUGCUUUUCUAUCCACGUUAUAGUGUUAUAUGGGCGGAGUUUUGAGUGCUCCUCAGAUAUGACUGCAGUUAGUCAUGAGUUCCCCCUUGAAGCAAAUACAAAAGUGAUAUUCUAAGAAUUGGUUACAAGAAGAAAAUACAAUACAGUAUGAGUGCUUGAAGUCCUGUGUAUCUAGAGCCUAUGAGUAUGAUGUUUCAUACUAGGCUAUAUAUAGUUACCCUAUUCUCAUCUCCACAGAACAAAAGUAAAACCAAACACCCACCACAAACCUAGCAGUAAAAUUCUCAGGUCCUUCCACUCAGGACACUAGAGAGGGCUUCCGAGCUAAGGACAAACCUACAUUCACUGAUGAAGGCACAGUGUUUAUGGCGGGAUUGCCAUGGCCACCGCAGAGGAAACCCAUUUUCCCUUUCAUGCACUGAAGGUAAGGGCAGUCAGUUUCAGUUAUGCAUUUGCUAGCUCCCUAUUCACCAAAGAUAGUUCUAUUUCUAAGGCUCUGAUAUUUAUUUCCAAAGAUUAACACAAUUAGAAGUACUUGCUGAUGGGAAGACCUGGUUGCCCACGAUAGGAAGGAAGAGGCUGCUACUGAAAGAAGACAUGGUUCCUGGGUUAAAGGUCUGGGCUGUAGUACUCUCUUCCUGUUGCUGACAGCAGGCUACUUGGAAUGUGGUGCUUCCUGUGUCUUGAACUUGCCUGGUUCAAGUCUGGACUGCUACUUUUAGUAGCAUCUGCAACUUACAAGCUUUAUAAAUAAGUGACUUAAUUUUUAAAAAUUCAAAUAUUUGGCAACUGAAACAGCUUGACUUUUCUGUCUGCCUACUUAAUUAAGCAUGUUAUCAAUGAAGAGCUUUUCUUUAAAUCCUCAGAGAUGGUAUAGUUAACAUAGAACAGUAGUCACUAUAUCUUAAGUUUAAAAAGUAAAAUGAAGAAGUCUUUAUCUGAGGGUUAUUUUCAACAAUCUAUAAAGGAGGGGAUUGUUUUAGGCAGUUAAUGAAGGCACUGAGGCAAAGAAAGGAGGGAGGAAUCAAUUCAAGUUCAGUACCCAGACCAACAAGGGGCUCUGCGGUAUUUUCUGACAGAAAGUCAGCUUGGUACCAUUAUAACUUCAUAAAAAGAUGUUCACAAAUAAGAAAACAAACUCAGAGAAAGUCUGCAGUAUUCAUCACAUAAAGAGAAAAAAAGUCCUUUAAAAAUCCAAGCCAUUAGAAGACACUUUCUGUGGAAAAUGUUUUAAAAACUGAAAAUGACUAGAUAAAGAACUAUUGGAGAAACACUUUUUCAAGAGGUUUGGCCACCCCUAAAUCACUGACUUUAUGGAAUAUUUAAUGGAAUAUAGUGCCCUAGAGCAUGGAGGUUACUCAUGAACACCUAUGCUCAGCAUAUGCUAUAAUUGUCCACCUAACGGGAAAUGCAAGGGGUUGCAAGGCUGGGAGCAACAGAGGGUCCUGGAACCUCAAAGUCCUGAGCCACAGGAAAGCUUCUCAUGGCUUCACCGUUUCCCUGAGCUGACUGCUUUAUUCCUCCCAAGUGUAACAGGCAAGGGGCGUGUCCUUCUCUAGUGUGUUCAUGCGGUUCAUGCUUUGUGAUUUCUAUAGCCAUGAAGAACCCCGACCCAAACUGCCAGGAAGACCUGCUUGAAACCUAACGCACUUAGACAUAUGGGACUAACCCUGAAAAUAAAAACAUCUUUAUGCUAAGAGGAAAGGAGUUUUUUUAAAUUAAAAAAAAUGUUUCUAGGUAUAUCAGCUUUCCUUUGGGGCUUGCUUUCAGAAUUCAGCAGCAGCUCAGGUUUACUGGGAGCAUGGAGCAUUCCGCUUGCAGAGAAGGGCUGGGUUAUGGGAACUCAGGAUUUGUGCAACAGCCUCACCACACGUGAAGGAAAACCUCUAGAGGAAUCACCAGCUACUCACGUUUCAAGAUAUUUCUUCUCUCCAGCUCUUCCACGGCAGGUCUUUGGCUCAGCCGUCUGCGGAAAAACACUAAAAUUACAUUUUGCACCAUAGUGG